rfam:Vitis vinifera, whole genome shotgun sequence of line PN40024, unoriented chromosome 18, chr18
ACGACCUUACUUGAACAGGAUCUGUUCUAUAGGCUCGUACCUCUGUAUCCUUGAGUUCUAAGGAGACAGGAACCUACGUCUGGUGGAUGAAUUGUGACCAUGUGAUCAGAGCGUGAUUAACAGUUCGGUGGUCCUUGAGGAUCGUUCCCGGCCAGCUGUGUCUGAAUGGGAUGGUCACAUGGUUGUCUGACAGACC